GUACUUCAGCAGCACAUAUACUAAAAUUGGAACGAUACAGAGAAGAUUAGCAUGUCCCUUGUGCAAGGAUGACCCGCAAAUCCAUGAGAUGUUCCGUAUUUAA